CCUACGGGAGGCAGCAGUGGGGAAUAUUGCACAAUGGACGAAAGUCUGAUCCAGCGACGCCGCGUGAGGGAAGAAGGAUUUCGGUAUUGAAAGCUCUAUCAGUAGGGAAGUAAAAAGACGGUACCUGACUAAGAAGUCCCUGCUAACUACGUGCCAGCAGCCGCGGUAAUACGGAGGGGGCGAGCGUUAUCCGGAUUUACUGGGUUUAAAGGGAGCGUAGACGGAGAAGUAAGUCAGAAGUGAAAGCCCGUGGCUUAACCACGGGACUGCUGUGGAAACUGUUUGACUAGAGUGCUGGAGAGGUAAGUGGAAUUCCUAGUGUAGCGGUGAAAUGCGUAGAUAUUAGGAGGAACACCAGUGGCGAAGGCGGCUUACUGGACAGUAACUGACGUUGAGGCUCGAAAGCGUGGGGAGCAAACAGGAUUAGAUACCCUAGUAGUC
rnacentral:rRNA from 1 species